UACGGAGGGUGCAAGCGUUAUCCGGAUUCACUGGGUUUAAAGGGUGCGUAGGUGGGCAGGUAAGUCAGUGGUGAAAUCUCCGAGCUUAACUCGGAAACUGCCGUUGAUACUAUUUGUCUUGAAUAUUGUGGAGGUAAGCGGAAUAUGUCAUGUAGCGGUGAAAUGCUUAGAUAUGACAUAGAACACCAAUUGCGAAGGCAGCUUACUACACAACGAUUGACGCUGAGGCACGAAAGCGUGGGGAGCGAACAGG
rnacentral:rRNA from 1 species